GUCCACGCCGUAAACGAUGGAUACUAGCUGUUUGAACGCAAGUUUGAGUGGCUAAGCGAAAGUGAUAAGUAUCCCACCUGGGGAGUACGGGCGCAAGCCUGAAACUCAAAGGAAUUGACGGGGGCCCGCACAAGCGGUGGAGCAUCUGGUUUAAUUCGAUGAUACGCGAGGAACCUUACCAGGGCUUAAAUGUAGGUUGACAGGCUUGGAAACAGGUUUUUUCUUCGGACAACUUACAAGGUGCUGCAUGGUUGUCGU
rnacentral:rRNA from 1 species